GAUACCAAGAUACUCUUAAAAGAGAAGAUGAAGUUCUCAUGUUUCAACCCCUAUUACUAUUGACUGUCAACUUCCCAAAAGACCCCAGAAAAACAUGUUAAUGGAACAAAACUAAGUUUAUUAGAUUUACUGUAGUAUAAGAGAAAACCACCUUGGUAGAGUCUUGAUAGUGCCUCAGGUUGACAAAGUCAGGGUCUGCACUGGGGGACUUCUAAGGUAGCUUUUGCAAGGUGGGGAGUAGCUUGGGACUGGGCAGGGUUUCUACCCUAACAAUUCUCAAUUGGUAAGCCCCGCAAGGCCAAGGAUCCUGAAGCAAAUCUAGAUAAGAAAGAUACUGGAUUUUAUAAGCUAGCUAUUUUAGUGGAUUUACUGCCUCAUUUUUGGUAAGCAAGUCUUCCUGAAGCAAGCAGGUGAACUGGGAGUACCGCACACAGCAUGGCUUCCAGCCUGAAGUGACUGUAAAAUGCCAGUGAAUAGAGAGGCUCAAGGCUGAGUAAAGGAUCCUGCACACUCAACAGGCUCAUCCUUCUCUGCACCCGAGUUGUUCAUAGAGUCCCAGUUACAGAGCUUUCAGAAGGCGGAAUUCGUCCACAGCACACUAUUGAUGCCUAUCGAAUCUAAGGAAAUUAACUAAGAAGGGAAGAAAUAAUCUUCAUAGAAAAGGGAUUUGAGAACCCAGAAGAGGGUAUGGGCCUGGCAGUGUGCAUGCUGCAAACUAUGCACCAUCACUGGCCUAAAACGCACCUCUGUGUGCAUCAUUUACUCACGUUUAAAAAUCACCCUCUACUUGUUCUCCUGUGACCCUCAUUGGACUAUAUCCAGACAGCACUGAAAGUGAUAGCCAGAAAAAGUAGAAACAACCCAUGUGUUCAUCCACUGACGAAUGGAUCAAAACAUGUGGCGUGUCCAUCCAUACAAGGGGAUAUUACCCAGCAGUCAAAAGGAGCAAAGAACUGAUGUAUACCACACCAUGGCUGAUUCUCAACAGUAUGUUCAGUGAAAGAAACCAGUCACAAAAGCACAUGUACUGUAUGUCUAUUUAUAUGAACUGCUUGGAGGAGGCACCUAGUGGUUGCCAGGGGCUUGGGGUGGGGGUGGAGGGCAGGAAUGGGGAAUGCCUG
rnacentral:lncRNA from 10 species